rfam:Pseudomonas fluorescens HK44 Contig4, whole genome shotgun sequence.
ACUCUCUACCCAUGUUCGCUGGCGUAGCCGGCUACAUGCCCAGGCAGUCGAGACCUUCGAGGCUGCGGUGCGAUUUCCGCACUGGUUGUUCUGCUCCACCGACGCACACCGCGUUCAUUCACCUAACCCACAAGGGAUCUCCUCCCUCGCGGGCGG